GUGGCGUGACUUUGGUACUGGUGGGCAGCGAUCUGCUGACGCCGCUGAGUGGCGCGCUGCUGGCGUCUAUAAGCGGUGUUCUGGCCGCGUCGGUAUGUAGCGCUCUUGCAAGGUGGGUUGCGCUCUGGUCUUACCGGUGAAUGGCGUUCUAACAACGCUGGUGAGUAGCGCUCUGGUGACGCCGCUGAGUAGCGUUCCAGUUGCGUCGAGAUGUAGCGCUCUCAGCAAUGCAGGUGAGGCGUACCGAUGAGUGGUACUUUGGUGGCGCCGGGAGUGACGUUUUACUCGCGCCGCUGGGCGGC